rnacentral:rRNA from 1 species
UGGCUGGGGGGCUGCUACCAUGCAGUCGAGCGGUAACAGAUCCAGCUUGCUGGAUGCUGACGAGCGGCGGACGGGUGAGUAAUGCAUAGGAAUCUGCCCGAUAGUGGGGGAUAACCUGGGGAAACCCAGGCUAAUACCGCAUACGUCCUACGGGAGAAAGGGGGCUUCGGCUCCCGCUAUCGGAUGAGCCUAUGUCGGAUUAGCUAGUUGGUGAGGUAACGGCUCACCAAGGCCACGAUCCGUAGCUGGUCUGAGAGGAUGAUCAGCCACAUCGGGACUGAGACACGGCCCGAACUCCUACGGGAGGCAGCAGUGGGGAAUAUUGGACAAUGGGGGGAACCCUGAUCCAGCCAUGCCGCGUGUGUGAAGAAGGCCCUCGGGUUGUAAAGCACUUUCAGCGAGGAAGAACGCCUAGCGGUUAAUACCCGCUAGGAAAGACAUCACUCGCAGAAGAAGCACCGGCUAACUCCGUGCCAGCAGCCGCGGUAAUACGGAGGGUGCAAGCGUUAAUCGGAAUUACUGGGCGUAAAGCGCGCGUAGGUGGCUUGAUAAGCCGGUUGUGAAAGCCCCGGGCUCAACCUGGGAACGGCAUCCGGAACUGUCAAGCUAGAGUGCAGGAGAGGAAGGUAGAAUUCCCGGUGUAGCGGUGAAAUGCGUAGAGAUCGGGAGGAAUACCAGUGGCGAAGGCGGCCUUCUGGACUGACACUGACACUGAGGUGCGAAAGCGUGGGUAGCAAACAGGAUUAGAUACCCUGGGUAGUC